rnacentral:rRNA from 1 species
AUAAGAGGUCCCGCCUGCCCUGUGAUAAUCACUUUUUAACGGCCGCGGUAUCCUGACCGUGCGAAGGUAGCGUAAUCACUUGUCUUUUAAUUGAAGACCCGUAUGAAUGGCAUCACGAGAGUUUAUCUGUCUCUAUUUCCUAAUCAAUGAAAUUGGCUUUCUCGUGCAGAGACGAGAAUAAUAACAUAAGACGAGAAGACCCUAUGGAGCUUAAAACACUUAAGUUAAUUAUUUAAUAAAACUUUACCCUCCCCGGACAUAAAACAACAAAUAAACUUAACUUAACCUGUUUUUGGUUGGGGCAACCAAGGGGGAAAACUAAACCCCCUUAUCGACUGAGUAUUCAAUAUACUUAAAAAUUAAAACGAACAGUUUUAAUCAAUAGAACAUCUAUCGAACAAUGACCCAGGAUAGUAUAUCCUGAUCAAUGAACCAAGUUACCCUAGGGAUAACAGCGCAAUCCUUUCUCAGAGUCCUUAUCGCCGAAAGGGUUUACGACCUCGAUGUUGGAUCAGGACAUCCUAAUGGUGUAGUCGCUAUUAAGGGUUCGUU